rnacentral:tRNA from 1 species
GUUAGUAUAGUUUAAAAAACAUUAGAGUGUGAUUCUAAAAAUAGAUGUUAAAGUCAUCUUACUUUCC